rnacentral:lncRNA from 1 species
UUCAUAGUAAGUACUAUAUCACACGUAACUGAGAAAAAAAUAAGUAAAAGUAGAAGAUUAUUUAAAAAAAAACAAAGAAGUGUACACUUUUGUUUAUGAGGUUAAUGACAUUAAAUUUUACUAUUGAUUAGGAUUUAAGAACUAGUUUUUUAUAGUUAGUUUUGUUAGACAUAAAUAAAAUAUAGUUAGUUUAAAGUAAUUACUGACUUAUUCAAAAAGGAGUUAAAAUUUGGACUACUAGCCUAAUUUACAUCAUCA